UACGUAGGGGGCUAGCGUUGCUCGGAAUUACUGGGCGUAAAGCGCACGUAGGCGGUUCUUUAAGUCAGGGGUGAAAUCCUGGAGCUCAACUCCAGAACUGCCUUUGAUACUGGGGAUCUCGAGUCCGGAAGAGGUGAGUGGAACUCCGAGUGUAGAGGUGAAAUUCGUAGAUAUUCGGAAGAACACCAGUGGCGAAGGCGGCUCACUGGUCCGGUACUGACGCUGAGGUGCGAAAGCGUGGGGAGCAAACAGG
rnacentral:rRNA from 1 species